rnacentral:rRNA from 1 species
CAUUAUUGAAAUAAACCUGAUGAGUUGCUGCUGGUUCUCUAGGGAGCAUGUGCACACUUGUCAUCUUUAUAUCUCCACCUGUGAACCUUUUGUAGACCUGAAUAUCUCUCUCUGAAUGCCUGCAAAAAUUCAGGUUUGAGGAUUGAUUCUUUUCUUUCCUCGCAUUUUCAGGUCUAUGUUUUUCAUAUACCCCAUGUAUGUUUAUAGAAUGUAAUAAACGGGCCUUUGUGCCUAUAAACUUAUACAACUUUCAGCAACGGAUCUCUUGGCUCUCGCAUCGAUGAAGAACGCAGCGAAAUGCGAUAAGUAAUGUGAAUUGCAGAAUUCAGUGAAUCAUCGAAUCUUUGAACGCAUAUUGCGCUCUUUGGUAUUCCGAAGAGCAUGCUUGUUUGAGUAUCAGUAAACACCUCAAAGCUUUUGAUUUUCUUUGAAAGCUUUGGACUUGAGCAAUCCCAACACCAAUCUUUUUCAGAUCGGCGGCGGGUUGCUUGAAAUGCAGGUGCAGCUGGACAUUCUCCUGAGCUAAAAGCAUAUUCAUUUAGUCCCGUCAAACGGAUUAUUACUUUUGCUGCAGCUAACAUAAAGGGAGUUUGACCGUAUUGGCUGACUGAUGCAGGAUUUUACAAGGGUCGGCAACGAUUCUUGUUAAACUCGAUCUCAAAUCAAGUAAGACUACCC